GGACUACUCGGGUAUCUAAUCCUGUUUGCUCCCCUGGCUUUCGUGCCUCAGUGUCAGGUGUUGUCCAGGGACUCGCCUUCGCCACUGGUGUUCCUCUCGAUCUCUACGCAUUUCACUGCUACACCGAGAAUUCCAGUCCCCCUUCCAAACCUCGAGCAAAGUAGUUUCCAAUGCAGUUUCCGAGUUGAGCUCGGAGAUUUCACAUCCGACUUACUUCGCCACCUACGCACCCUUUACGCCCAGUGAAUCCGAACAACGCUUGGGACCUCUGUAUUACCGCGGCUGCUGGCAC
rnacentral:rRNA from 1 species